GCUGGGCACGGUGGUGCAUGCCUGUAAUCCCAGCAUCUCUGGAGGCUGGGGAAGGAGUAUGGAGGGUUCAAAGCCAGCCUCAGCAAUUUAGUGAGGCCUUAAGUAACUCAGCAAGACCCUGUCUCUA
rnacentral:sRNA from 1 species